rnacentral:rRNA from 1 species
UACGAAGGGGGCUAGCGUUGUUCGGAAUCACUGGGCGUAAAGGGCGCGUAGGCGGCUUUGUAAGUCGGGGGUGAAAGCCUGUGGCUCAACCACAGAAUUGCCUUCGAUACUGCAUGGCUUGAGACCGGAAGAGGUAAGUGGAACUGCGAGUGUAGAGGUGAAAUUCGUAGAUAUUCGCAAGAACACCAGUGGCGAAGGCGGCUUACUGGUCCGGUUCUGGACGCUGAGGCGGCGAAAAGCGUGGGGAGCAAACAGG